UACGGAGGGUGCGAGCGUUGUCCGGAAUCAUUGGGCGUAAAGGGCGCGUAGGUGGCCCGGUCAGUUCGUGGUGAAAGCGCGGGGCUCAACCCUGCGUCGGCCAUGAAUACUGCCGCGGCUGGGGCACUGUAGAGGCAGGCGGAAUUCCGGGUGUAGCGGUGGAAUGCGUAGAGAUCCGGAAGAACACCGGUGGCGAAGGCGGCCUGCUGGGCAGUUGCUGACACUGAGGCGCGACAGCGUGGGGAGCAAACAGG
rnacentral:rRNA from 1 species